GGCCGAUGAUAUUUCAAACGUUCUCAUUGGUCGAAUCUGCUCGUUCAAAUAUGUCGGCCAAUGUAUUUCGACUGCAGCAGGAAAUUCGAGUACGAAGUUACAUUAUGUUGAUUUCAAUGCAAGAUGACUAUUCAUCGAAGAAGAAGACACUGUUGUAGCAUUGGAUCAUUUCUUUGAAGUUACUUUUUUCUUGACGUUACCAAUAUGAAUAUUAAUUGCAUUUAUUUUUUUCUUUGAAGAGGUUUGAAGUUAAAUACAAUGCGUAUAGAAUAUAGCAGCGAUGACAAGAAGUGGUUAGAACCGAAAGCUUUUAGAAAGUAAGGUAAUAAUCUUGUAGAAUUAAGAAACGAAUAUUAUUUUAUUCUAAAGGUAUAUAUUUAUAUAUUCAUUAGUUUACCAUAGCGUUAAUACAUUUAUUCUUUUAUCGCAAGUGAAAAAUCAUUGCGCUGAAAGAAAUAGCAUAAUACUUUCAACAAUGAUUAAUAAAAUUUGACAAUACCUUCCUUAUGAACAUUUUUGAAAGAAAAUGCUUUAUUAUUAUCUACUUGAAAUAAAAUAUUUUAUUAAUACUAGUAAAGU